UUGAGGAAAAGAUGGUCUUAUU
rnacentral:miRNA from 1 species